GAUAAGCGCUGAAAGCAUCUAAGCGCGAAGCUGGCCCCGAGAUGAGUCAUCCCUAGAGCUUCGAGCUCUCUAAAGGGUUGUCGUAGACGACGACGUUGAUAGGCAGGGUGUGUAAGCGCUGUGAGGCGUUGAGCUAACCUGUACUAAUUGCCCGUGAGGCUUAACCAUACAACACCCAAG
rnacentral:rRNA from 1 species